ensembl:lncRNA
CAACCCCAUCCCGCGGCCCUGGCAGCCCGGGAAACCCCCUCCCUCUGCAGCUUCUGGAGCCUGCCUGGACCACCCGCGCCUGGGAGAGCCCCGUGUGGGCCUAGCCGUGGAGUCCAGGGCCCGGUCCGGGGAAAGUGGGCAUCCGGACCCCCGAGACAAACUGCACGGUCCUCACCCACGAGUGUAGCCUUGGGGACGAGCCUCAGUCACGUCUUCCAAAAGGGGCUGGCUCCGUCCUGACGAAGUCACCACCAAAGGGCCUGUGUUGGGCUAAUAACAUGGCCAGACCUGUGUAAGUGAUGCUCAGCUAAGGACCUCACCACCUAACACUUUAGAAAACCCUAAGAAAGGGCUCCUGGUUUCUCUGCCAAACACCAGCCUUCUGGAGCCCAAGGCCUGGAGGACAGCAGAAGAGAGACAGUUUUCUAUGAGUAAGGGGCCCAGGAGGAAGGUCACCUCCACUCCACCCAGCGUCCUAAGCCAGAGAAGACCCAGGUUGUCAAGUGACUCAGGCUCCAGGACCCAGCCACAAACAGUCCUGUGCAGGCAGAAGCCUCACUCUGGCUCACAGCAGGGGACAAAACACAAAUCCCUGCCCCUCUCUCAGCCCCCAGGGAGCUGAAAGAAUGUGCCUGCAUGCGAGGAGGUGAAAGUGUAGGCAGAUCUGGGGGUGUGCAGGUGAGGAGAGAAGCAUCCAGUCGUGGACCACAGGGUAUACACGGUGAGAUGAUGACCACAGUAAGGUUGCCUAACACACUCAUCGGUCACCUAGUUACGUGUGUGUGUGUGGUGAGAACACAUACGAUAUGCUCUCCUAGCAACUUGCAGAUAUGUGCCCAGAAGUGAGAUUGCUGGAUCAUGUCGCUAAGUCGUGUCCGACUCUUUGCAUCCCCAUGGACUGCAGCACAUCAGGCCCCCCUGUCCUUCACUGUCUCCUGGAGUUUGCUCACAUUCAUGUCCAAAGAGUCCGUGAUGCCAUCUAACCAUCUCAUCCUUUCUGAUGCUGAAGCUGAAGCUCCAAUACUCUGGCCACCUGAUACAAAGAGCUGACUCAUUAGAAAAGACCCUGAUGCUGGGAAAGAUCGAUGACAACAGGAGGAGGCGGCGGCAGAGGAUAAGUCCCUUGUUUCCCAUCUUAAAAGGAGGGACUGCCGUGGCAGCCCAGUGGUUGCAACUCUGCUCUUCCCCUGUUGCGGGGGUCUGUGCAGGUUCCGUCCCUGAUUGGGAAACAGAUCCCACAUGCUGAGCCACCAAAACAAAAUAAGGAAUUUCUUUAAAAAAAACAACAGGAAAGCUCUCAGCCUUUCACCACGAUGACGUUACCUGUGAUUGUCAUAUAUGCCCUGUAUUAUGUUAACUUAAAUUCUUUCUAUACCAAAUGUGUGGAGACUUUGACAUAAAAGUAUGUUGAAUUUUGUCAAAUUCAUUUUUUGUGUGCAUGUAUGGAGAUACUCGUGUAAUUUUACCUUUUACUAUUAAUGUGUUUUAUCACAUUUCUCUGUUUACAUAUUUUGAACCAUCCUGCAUCCCAGGGAUGAAUCCCACUUGAUUGUGGGGUAUGAUCCUUUAAUGUGCUAUUGUUAGUCCCCUGUUGAGAAUCUCUAUAUCCAUAUUCUUCACAGAUAUAAGUCUAUAGUUUUCUUUUCUUGCAGUGCCCUUAUUCAGCUUUGUUACCAAGAUAAUAAUGUUGGCCUUGUGAA